GUACAAUAUAUUUAUUUACAUAAAACUAUUAAGUAUCACUAUAAGCGUUUUUAAAUUUGAUAUUUUUAUUAUGUUAUACACUGUAUAUAGUGUAUAUAUUAUAAAUUUAGUUGUGAAAUUCAAUACGCGCAUUAAAAAAAAAAAAUAAUAAUAAAACAUUGACAUUGAAAAACGGAGGGAAAAAGACACCUUGUCGUUCUUACGGUACGUGAUAAGUAUUUUUCAAUCCAGUUCAAGAUCGUUAAACUAAAGAAUAGAAAAAAAAAAAAAAAAAUCUCGAAACAAAAUUUUACUUGAUGGGACGAUAACUACAAUAUCACUGUCCCGACGCGCGGUAGUCCGACUAGCAAACGGGCGGCUGUAACUGCACAAUUGAGCAUAAAAGUCCUUUUUUUAAGCAUAUUUUGUUGACGUAUCAAUUAUGUAGAAAUAUAGAAAUACAAAAGAAAAGCUUACGAAUGAGCAUAAAAAAUACUGCGACGCAGCCAUUUUCCACGUUAAACAAUAUUCGAUUGUACUUUAUAAAACACAAUAUUAUUAAUACGAAUAUUGUUAGAAUUGAAAAAAUCAAUACACGAAUAAAAAUAAUUGCAUGGUCAUAUGCAACGAUAUAUUGUUGACUUGUCGACGAUAAUAAUAGUACGGUAAUGAAUUGAAAAAAAAAA